UUGGUUAAGUUAGAAAGGGCGCACGGUGGAUGCCUUGGCACUAGGAGCCGAAGAAGGACGGGACUAACACCGAUAUGCUUUGGGGAGCUGUACGUAAGCGUUGAUCCAGAGAUUUCCGAAUGGGGGAACCCACUAUCUUUAGUCGGAUAGUAUCCUUACGUGAAUACAUAGCGUAAGGAAGGCAGACCCAGGGAACUGAAACAUCUAAGUACCUGGAGGAAGAGAAAGAAAAAUCGAUUUCCUGAGUAGCGGCGAGCGAAACGGAAAGAGCCCAAACCAAGAAGCUUGCUUCUUGGGGUUGUAGGACACUCUAUACGGAGUUACAAAAGAAAGUUAUAAAUGAAGCGGUCUGGAAAGGCCCGCCAAAGACGGUAACAGCCCGGUAGUUGAAAUGGCUUUCCCUCCAGAGUGGAUCCUGAGUACGGCGGAACACGUGAAAUUCCGUCGGAAUCCGGGAGGACCAUCUCCCAAGGCUAAAUACUCCCUAGUGACCGAUAGUGAACCAGUACCGUGAGGGAAAGGUGAAAAGCACCCCGGAAGGGGAGUGAAACAGUUCCUGAAACCGUGUGCCUACAAGUAGUUAGAGCCCGUUAAUGGGUGAUAGCGUGCCUUUUGUAGAAUGAACCGGCGAGUUACGAUUUGUUGCAAGGUUAAGCGGAAAAAGCGGAGCCGUAGCGAAAGCGAGUCUGAAUAGGGCGCAUAAGUAACAGGUCGUAGACCCGAAACCAGGUGAUCUACCCAUGUCCAGGAUGAAGGUAAGGUAAUACUUACUGGAGGUCCGAACCCACGCACGUUGAAAAGUGCGGGGAUGAGGUGUGGGUAGCGGAGAAAUUCCAAUCGAACUUGGAGAUAGCUGGUUCUCUCCGAAAUAGCUUUAGGGCUAGCCUCGAGGUAAAGAGUCAUGGAGGUAGAGCACUGUUUGGACUAGGGGCCCUUCUCGGGUUACCGAAUUCAGAUAAACUCCGAAUGCCAUGUACUUAUACUCGGGAGUCAGACUGCGAGUGAUAAGAUCCGUAGUCGAAAGGGAAACAGCCCAGACCACCAGUUAAGGUCCCCAAAUAUAUGUUAAGUGGAAAAGGAUGUGGGGUUGCUUAGACAACCAGGAUGUUGGCUUAGAAGCAGCCACCAUUGAAAGAGUGCGUAAUAGCUCACUGGUCGAGUGACCCCGCGCCGAAAAUGUACCGGGGCUAAACAUAUUACCGAAACUGUGGAUGAACCUCUUUAGAGGUUCGUGGUAGGAGAGCGUUCUAAGGGCGGUGAAGUCAGACCGGAAGGACUGGUGGAGCGCUUAGAAGUGAGAAUGCCGGUAUGAGUAGCGAAAGAAGGGUGAGAAUCCCUUCCACCGAAUAUCUAAGGUUUCCUGAGGAAGGCUCGUCCGCUC
rnacentral:rRNA from 1 species